rnacentral:rRNA from 1 species
UUUCCGUAGGUGAACCUGCGGAAGGAUCAUUAACGAGUUUUGAAAGCGGAGGCUUGUUGCUGGUGCGGAAACGUACAUGUGCGCGGCCUUCGUGCUCAAUCCACUCAACCCCUGUGCACCUUGCGAAGCUAGUAGCUUCUCUCUCUCUCUCUAUCUGCUCGUUCUGUAUCCUCUUUGACUGGUAUGUAAGAGCCCUGCCUUGUGCGGGUUCGAACUUAACUCGGUUGAAGUGGGGGGAGGGACGGUGCAGGGAGGUGGUGAAGCGAACGCUUUGAUUUUUAUUACAAACCCACUGUAAUGUCUUGUUGAAUGUAAUGCUCCUUGUGAGCGAAACGAAAUACAACUUUCAACAACGGAUCUCUUGGCUCUCGCAUCGAUGAAGAACGCAGCGAAAUGCGAUAAGUAAUGUGAAUUGCAGAAUUCAGUGAAUCAUCGAAUCUUUGAACGCACCUUGCGCCCCUUGGUAUUCCGAGGGGCAUGCCUGUUUGAGUGUCAUGUUAAUCUCAAACCUCGGGUCUUUUUAACUAGAGACCUGUUCGGUUUGGACUUGGAGGUUACUGCUGGCUCUCCCUUCUGUGGUCGGCUCCUCUGAAAUGCAUUAGCUGGACUUUGGUUCGCAUCUACGGUGUAAUAGUAACUUGUAUUCGCCGGGUGCUUGCCUAGGGAGUCCGCUUCUAAUCGCCCCCUCGGGCAAGGUCUCCUUUUGUGACCUUCUUGAACACUUUGACCUCAAAUCAGGUAGGACUACCCGCUGAACUUAA